rnacentral:rRNA from 1 species
AUUGAACGCUGGCGGCAUGCUUUACACAUGCAAGUCGAACGGCAGCACGGACUUCGGUCUGGUGGCGAGUGGCGAACGGGUGAGUAAUACAUCGGAACGUGCCCAGUUGUGGGGGAUAACUACUCGAAAGAGUAGCUAAUACCGCAUGAGAACUGAGGUUGAAAGCAGGGGAUCGUAAGACCUUGCGCAACUGGAGCGGCCGAUGGCAGUAUUAGGUAGUUGGUGGGAUAAAAGCUUACCAAGCCGACGAUCUGUAGCUGGUCUGAGAGGACGACCAGCCACACUGGGACUGAGACGCGGCCCAGACUCCUACGGGAGGCAGCAGUGGGGAAUUUUGGACAAUGGGCGAAAGCCUGAUCCAGCAAUGCCGCGUGCAGGAUGAAGGCCUUCGGGUUGUAAACUGCUUUUGUAGGGAACGAAAAGCUUCGGGUUAAUACCCUGGAGUCAUGACGGUACCGUAGGAAUAAGCACCGGCUAACUACGUGCCAGCAGCCGCCGUAAAAC